rnacentral:rRNA from 1 species
AUUGAACGCUGGCGGCAGGCCUAACACAUGCAAGUCGAACGGUAGCACAGAGAGCUUGCUCUCGGGUGACGAGUGGCGGACGGGUGAGUAAUGUCUGGGAAACUGCCCGAUGGAGGGGGAUAACUACUGGAAACGGUAGCUAAUACCGCAUAACGUCGCAAGACCAAAGAGGGGGGACCUUCGGGCCUCCUUGCCAUCGGAUGUGCCCAGGUGGGAUUAGCUUGUAGGUGG